UCCCUGGUGGUUGAGAUGGUGAAGAAUCUGCCUGCAAUGCAGGAGACCCAGGUUCGAUCCCUGGGUUGGGAA
rnacentral:tRNA from 1 species